AAGAAUACGUUGAUGAGGAGGAGUACAUCUUGUAUUCUUAAAGAGAGUCUCUGGAAGGUGUAAAGAGAUAGAAGAAAAGAUGGAAGGUAGCCUCGGAGUAUGUUUUUUGAACUCACAGUAGGAAAACACGUAGAACUGCGUUAAAGUUUAAGAGGUAUACAAAUGUAUACGAAUUAAGGUGGUACCACGAACAUUCGUCCUUAAA
rnacentral:ncRNA from 1 species